rnacentral:rRNA from 1 species
ACGAACGUUGGCGGCGUGCCUAAUACAUGCAAGUCGAGCGAGAACGGAGGGGCAACUCUCCUAGUAAAGCGGCGAAAGGGUGAGUAAGACAUGGAGAACGUACCCCUUGAAUCGGGAUAACCCAGGGAAACUUGGGCUAAUACCGGAUGAAAUCCUGAGAAGGCAUCUUUUUAGGAUCAAAGGGAGACUAUCGAGGGAGCGCUCCAUGGCCUAUCAGCUAGUUGGUGAGGUAACGGCUCACCAAGGCUGUGACGGGUAGCCGGACUGAGAGGUCGACCGGCCACAUGGGCACUGAGACACGGGCCCAACACCUACGGGUGGCAGCAGUAGGGAAUCUUGCGCAAUGGGCGAAAGCCUGACGCAGCGACGCCGCGUGGAGGAUGAAGGCCUUCGGGUUGUAAACUCCUUUCAUGAGGGACGAAUACUGACUUAACCUCAGGAAGAAGCACCGGCUAACUCCGU